rnacentral:tRNA from 1 species
GGGCUCUUAGCUCAGUUGGUUAGAGCGCUACCUUGACAUGGUAGAGGCCAUAGGUUCGAAUCCUAUAGAGCCCACAA